GACUAAGCUUCCUUGAGUUUCAUGUGAAGGGUCAGGAUUCUGUACCUUCAGCAAAGCUAAUUUUUGUUUCACAUCCUUCUCAGUGACAUUAAAAGUCUAUCUUGAUUUUAUUCAUUUUACUCCUGAUUAACCUUAUCAUCAUCUCUCUGAUAAAUAAUGCCACUCACUGUUAAAACUCUCAGCUUAUUUUUCACAUUGGAAAUGUAACUUUUGCUUCCUCUAGAUUAAGAAAUGGUUAUAUGGCUAUUACAAAAUGUCAGAAUUAUUUAAGAAAAACACUUUAAAAAAAUCACUGUUGCUUCUUUCAAACCUCCUUGAUACAUUUAAAGUUACAAAGAGUAAAGAAAAAUGACCCUAUCCAAUUUUCUGCUUACAUCUUGAGAACAGUCCUGUAAGUAAGACAACUCUGGAAGUCUCUCUCACUGACUUUUUAAUCUUCUGCAAGGGCAGAGCUUUUGCUUCUUUGAGGGCCUGGUCUUCACAGUCAACCUUGGUGUGACUCCUCCAAGCAAUCUUACUGGCUGUGGAGUCUGGAAAGCCUGAAGAUCCUUCCUAAAAAGAUGAACCCUGCCAUGUGUUCCUCCAUUCAGGUGGCCUUUUUCUGAUUCAGUGCAGCUUUCUGAGCAUGGGUGACCAAACCUGUACACCAUUUGCACAAAUUCAGUUCCAUCAGAUUGGUGAUUACAGCCAGAUGGAAGAGGUAAGAGGACUGAUAUUCCGAGGAUGAAUUCUCAGCAAAUUCUAAGAAGGUGCCUUUACGAGGUAUCUAGUUAUAUAAACCUCAGUCACUCAAGGGGGAAUCUUGUCCUAAGUAACGUAAGGUACAAAAAUACACACCUGAACUGACAAGGGGCCUGCUUCAUACAUGAGAAUUAACUCCCUGAACUGCUUGUUGUAACAUAUGGUAGGUUCUGUUCACAAGUGUGAUAGUGUGUGUGUGUGUGCAUGAAGAGCGCUGACUAAAGCCGUGUGAGGUACUGUUAGAGUGUUCCUAGCAUCUCAGGAAAGGCAACUUCUCAAGAAGGUAAACAUGUUUUGGGGAAUCUUUGCUGCACCACUGAAGUAUUCCACCAGUGAAGACUUCUGGAGAAGUGGUAAGAAGAAAUACUCACAGGUGACCUCCAGAGCAAGGUACUCCUGUUGAGUCUUUUAAGAUCUGAUUUUAAGAGGUCCUGGAUACCUUCUAGAAGAUGCUUCCUUAAGUAUCUGCACAUCAGCAUCCUAUAUAUUUUAAACCGAGCAUGCAAAAACACAGCACGGAUGGGCACUCUUAAAUGUGGUGGCCUACGUGACUUCCUUGUAGUCACUUGGCAGUGCAAUAAUAGAAAUAGGAACAUAGGAUUUCUUAUGUCUAUUGUGUCCAUUGGAACAAUACUGCUAAGAGCAACUGAGACCAAAGGCCUGGCCUUCAAAAUAUAUGACUUGAAAGGAAAGCUGCAUUUUUUUGGUAAGGUCCAAAUGUAUUUCAUUCAGCUUUGCUGCUACUCCCCAAGUUUGGUUAUAAACAAGUAUGAUUUCUACCCUGGAAGCCACACAUCUGGAUUGCAGUGCCUGUAACUGUUUUCAUCAUCACAAGUAGUUAUUGGCAUUGUUAUGUUCUGCAUGUGCACAAAACAGCUUGUACGAGGCAACCUGAGCAAACCCUGUUUUACAAUUGAAGAGUUUCAAUGUCUUAAAUCACCAGUCUGCAAGGUAGCCACAGCCAUUAAUUCUCUAUGUAAGACUCUGAAGUCUUAGAAUUCCACAUUGGUAACCCUAAAGAGUUCUGAUUCUGACUACUCCCUGUCAGAUUUCCAUGCUGACUCUUUGUCUGGUUGGGUCAACUGUCCAAAGCAAUGAUGUACCAACUACUUCUGUGGGAGACAAGUGUGAACUUGGGUAGAGCUCACCUAUAGCUGUAAAGCUUUUCGUAGCUAUACAACAAAAAUAACUUCUGUACAUCAUAAAUACAGUGAUGUAGGCUGUCAGGAUUAUCAAUACUCAAUUCUAAGUGUCAAAAUAAUGUUGCACCUGGAUGACUUCUGUGUAAGUAACAGACUGUUUUCCCGCUGCACAGUUGGCAUUCCCUGGAGUCUUUGGAUUCUGCACCAGGGAGGCUGAAUGUAUUUGAAUUCAUAUUUAAAAUGUUCCAGGCCCCUGAUUCCAGCCUCAGUUCCCCAAACAAUGACAGUGCAGGUGAUCACAGAAAGGUCACUUGGAACAAAUAAACACUUAAUUCCAGUCUGGAUAAGGAACUGCAGAAAUGGACAGGGAACUUGGAGACCUCCAAUCUUUGCACAGUUCAUACAAAGCAGGGGUCUGGGAGUACAUGGCUGCUGACAGAAUGAGAAGGGGACAUGAACUGCUCACUCCGAGGGACUAAGGACAUCUAGAGAAGGUGACUUUUCUUUGGAGGAAUUGAUAGACUUCACUGGUUCUCUGCCUUCCCUUCCACUUCUCAGAAAGGUCACCCCAAAAGCCUUGCCAAACUUCCAGGCAUGGUGGUAAGUGUGGAAGAGUAAAAUAAGAGUGCUUUUGCUGCAAAUUUGCUGUUAUCUUCCUCUCCUAAAUUGUUUCUAUUCCUGGUUAAACCUGUGGCUUGCCAAAUGACUUCUGUGUAACUUGUAGCUGAUUACCUCGUGUUCCCCAUUUCCUUUACACUUGUCUGGGCAAUUCUUUGCUCGCACAAGCAGAAGUAUGGACAGAGCCAUGGAACAGUCACCUACUGACCACACCGCUUCAAGCAAAUAGGACUGUGCACCCCCAGCCUGAGUAACGCCGUGAUGUGGUGUCUGAAGCUUUGCAGACUUACUGACCCAUGGGAAAGGCAGGCUGCAAAGGGCAGAGACAGAGAUAUGCCUUCAGCUGGCAUUCUCCUACCCCUCUUCUAACUGGGUGUCUCUGUUGACCUGUUUCAUAAAUCAUUAAUAAAUAGUACUUCUGAAUAAAUACUUUCUCUGUAUCUUCUCCAACACUAAGGAUUAAUUUUGCAUGGGUCUGUGCAUUUACUCUGUUCUUCAGCAGUCACAGAAAUUAAUCUCUUGGCCAGAUUUUAUGAAUGAUGUUCCACAUUUAUUACGUAUUAUGACCUUUCUGGAUAACAUAAAGCCAAGUCUAGGGAUCUGUCUUUGGUUCUAACAGUAUUUUUCUCCUCUAAUGAACAAUGUGUUGCAGUAUAUAGAUACCUGUGAUUUACAUCCUUCAUCUGAGUUUCAAGUAAGAUCAUGUGUAACAUUUUACAUGAAGCAAGGUGGUGAAUAGGAGAGUUCACUGACUUUUCAACCCUGGAAUCACCCAAACACUGGUUUACAUUCCAAAUAAAAUAUUUGGUAGGUUUCAGACCAGUCUUUACCAGUGUAUAUCACAGUGUUGCUGUUGGGAAAAACUGAAUUUAUUAAGGCAGUAUAUUUUAAAAAUUGGCUCCAGCACCACAGAGCUGGCAACAAGGAAAAAAUAAUCUAAGGCAGCAUGUAAAAAACUUGUUCUCUAGUUAGACUGUGAAUUUUCCAAUAACUGCCUCCAAUAGACCACCCUAUGACACUGAUUGCAAACAUAUAAAGGCUGAUUGUUUCAAAAGUCAUAUAAAUAAAAUGUAGAUGUUGAA